rnacentral:lncRNA from 1 species
GGACAUCAUUGAUGAGCUUCCCUAGUCGUGUCUCCUACAAGAGAGUGACAUACUUUUACAAGGGGCCAGCGUCUUGGAUAUAGUUUGGGUAUGUCCAGCACUGUGGCAGCAAUGAAUCUUUAGAUCUGGGACUCAAUGGCUUUCUCAGAAACAGGUCUACCGGUUCCAGGUGCCUGUAGACUCAGGUGCUAUCAAGACCACAAAUAUAACCGUGGGUGGCCCUACCAGGAUGUCUGGGUGAGCACAUUAUACAGCCUAAGACUUCCUACCCAAAGAGAGGGCAGUACCACUAACCAGUUGUCUAAAGCACAGUUCAGGAAGGAGCCCAGUUGUGAGAUUAGAAGCCUCCAUUCUUGGAGAGUUGAGUAAGAGCCUAACCCACAGGAAGAAAAGCUGUCUGGGGCUACCUUUACCUCCCAUUAUGCCCAGGGUAGGGGCAAGGGCUCUUACCUCCAGUGCCUCUUUGGUGAUGGGGUAUCUCUCCAGACUGGAGAUCACUUCCAACACUGCCACCAUGUUCCGGAUCUGAAGAAAAAGAACCAUGUAUCAGCUCAGGGCUCUGCCUUCUCCCAUGGAAAGCCCAGCAGCCUAGGGCCCUGCAAGAUACCAGCACUACCAAAAUCCCUAUUACCCUUUCCCAGGGUUCAGCAUUACCCAUAUGCAGGCACACCCCACUGCCAUCAGGGUGCUCUGCUGAAGGACAUACCACAUAAAACACAAAGCCUCAGAGAAAAGGAAAGGAAAGAUAGGCACAAUAACCAGUGAACCCGAUGACUGUAUCAAGGUCUUCAUAGAGACUCUCAAGAAAGCAAGAUGUCACAAACUAUAAGAUCUGUAUGUCACAUGGCUAGGAGGGCCUCUGGAACACCACCUGAGCAAUAAUGCAGCCCCAUGAAACCAGAUGAGAGAAGGCCCGAGACACUAAGAGGCUCUGUACACAACAAGCAGGGUGAGGACUAGUGCUGAGCUUCAUGGUGACAGGAAGCUAAUGAUCUACAGGCUCACAUAUGGGAUCCCACUCUAAGCCAGCCUUUCCACUGGGCAGGUGCCAGGAUUGUCAUUCUGGAAAGAGUAGGACUAAAAAGCUAUGACUGAUGUGACUGGACAUCCCAGCAGCACAGCCACACACAGUAGCAAAGCAUGAGUGGGGGGGGGUGGGUGAAGAGGAGUUUCCAGAGCAAGAGGGGACAAAGCAAGAUGUCACAAACUGUAAGAUGUAUAUAUAUGGCUAGUGAGACUAGCCAUAUUGGUGAGCUCCAGGUUUGAUUGAGAGACCCUGUCUCAGUGAUCAGGCGGAGGAGUGAGUGAUGAUUCCCUGCACCAACUUGAGCUGCCCUUUAUGCAUGUGCACACAUGUAUUCCAUACACAUGUACAUGGGAAACUACUUCAAUGAACCCCAGACAGAAACAUGGAAGUUGAAAGUAAGCUCUAAAAUGGUUGCAGGAGAGGAUCUGCAGUUGUGGGAUGAUAGAUGUUCCUGAGGAGUUCAGAGCACAGGGCAGAGUAACAUGGCACUGCAGGUUCUAGGUUGACAAGCAGUCAGGAACUGUGGGGGUGGAGUUUAGACAGAAUACCAACAAAGCUGAUUGUCCAUAGCCCUAAGUCCUCUCUAUCUUUGUGCCACAUGUCGAAAGGGUAUGAUGAUAUCACCUGCCACACUGGGUAACAUGGAAAAAUAGUCUGCAACCCUACCGACUGUUCAUGAGGAACCGCCCAGCUCCAGCACUUGGGAGGAGGUGUCAGCUAGUAGCCCCCAGGAGGUUGUUCCAUGUGACAUACCACAAGCAACCUAGUGACCAGAAGAUCGACCUUCAGGUUUCCUGCUGCUGCCCUGAUCUAUGUUGGCUGAAUCCCUUCAUGUUUUGAUUGUCUCACCUACCCAUAGCCUAGGGCCAGAGAGCUGCCUCCUUACUGGAGGUUCUUGGGGAUGAUCCAUACUCAGAGAGAUACCAACAGAAUUCAAGUCCAGGUCCCAAUUUUCUUACUGGCUGUCACCUAAAAUGCUGCUCCUAGCUUCAGGAGUACAUCAUGUCCCUGUGUUCCCAGCCCUCUACCUACCUUCAAUACCAGCCCCAGAAUCCUGAUCAUGUAUAGCCCAGAAUUGUUCCUGUCCGCACCUUAGCCAUGUCUUGUCAGGUAAGGUACCAGGCCUAGGUUGGUUUCCAGACUAGGAGGUAGAUAGCCUAUAGGCCAUGGGUAUCCCCCAGCUUUUCUAGUCUGUCCAUUUCCAGCGGAAGGCAGUCACCAUGUCUCUCUUGCUUCAGGGCUCUGCCUCCUGGGAGAGAAGCUGUACUGAGAAGAGAGCAGUCAGCAGCCCUUGUACUGUCGCACAGCUUUCACUAAGCCAUCCCUCUGUCAACAAGGCAGGCCCUUCCUUGGGAACAAGGCCUUCCACAUGUGAUAUUUCCUCUGGGGCUGGGGCUGUAAACACAUCCAGAUUACAACAUUGGUCCUGCUGCCCCAUGGAUGGGUGGCCUACCUAGAGACAUGGCUGUCGUACUCACCUCUGAAAUGGGAUGGGCAGGGAUUCCAUGCAAAGAGUGUGCAAUGAGGAGAUCAUUCCUAAGAGAAGAUAAAUCAAGUGUUCCCUGGCCUGGGAUCUUGGUGCCACUGGGCUCCUGAGCUCCAUGGCUUCAUCUCCAUCUAGUGACCUCACUCUGGUAUAUUUAGAGCCCUGGGUCCCCACAUACUCCUGACCCAGCAGUCCUUGAUGAAAGGAAUUUGCCCAAGCCCCAAUGGCCUGGCAGCACAGAGUGUCCUUGUCCUAGGACAGAAACCAUUCUGCUCCCAGACAGGAAGAGGGGACAGAACACCUAGGGGAACCAGAUAUUGGGUUGGUGCAUAGGAAAACACACACACACACAAAUGCUAAGCUGUGCACAGACCAGCCAUAGUGCCUUCUGGGGUUAUAUGGAUCAAGGUCUAAGGGCCUUGACUAAGGGGCCACUUUAUCAGUGUGGGCUUCCAGGAGGCCCUGAGGGAAAUGCCAUAUCCUCCGUGUUCUCCUGCAGCUGUAGGUCAUUCACCUAAGGAACUGCCUGCCACACUUACAAGGUCCACACUGCUGGAGCCACACACUGGAGCCAGUGUAAGUAGAUCAACCAUCAGAGCAGUGAGUGAGUUAAGGUGAACCUACCUGCCUAGGU